rnacentral:tRNA from 1 species
GAAAGUAUAGCUCAGUGGUAGAGCGUGGGACUAGCAUGCACAAGAUCCUGGGUUCGGUCCCCAGUACCUCCA